rnacentral:ncRNA from 1 species
GAGAGCACAGUACGAUGAAAGUUGUGAGCUGUGUUCGGGGGGGAUCGGGGGGAGUUAUUGUGUAUCGUUGACCUCUAU